UAAGUGCUUCCAUGUUUUGGUGC
rnacentral:miRNA from 1 species